CUACGGGAGGCAGCAGUGAGGAAUAUUGCCCAAUGGACGCAAGUCUGAGGCAGCGACGCCGCGUGGGUGAAGAAGGCCUUCGGGUCGUAAAGCCCUUUUCCAGGUGACGAGAAAAGGACGGUAGCCUGGGAAUAAGUCUCGGCUAACUACGUGCCAGCAGCCGCGGUAAAACGUAGGACGCAAACGUUAUCCGGAGUUACUGGGCGUAAAGCGCGAGCAGGCGGUUGGAUAAGUUACCUAUGAAAGCUCCCGGCUAAACUGGGAGAGGAUAGGUGAUACUGUUUAACUAGAGUGAGAUAGAGGCAAGUAGAAUUCCGGGUGUAGUGGUGAAAUGCGUAGAUAUCCGGAGGAAUACCAGUGGCGAAGGCGGCUUGCUGGAUCUCAACUGACGCUGAGACGCGAAAGCGUGGGUAGCGAACGGGAUUAGAAACCCCGGUAGUCC
rnacentral:rRNA from 1 species